rnacentral:pre_miRNA from 1 species
ACAACAAAGGGACCGUCGGUCCACCGAGCAAUAUCACUCGCUCGGUGGAAGAUCUUCCCUUUGUCGU